ACGAUGUUCCGCUGCAAUCAUAAAAAGGAAUGUAAGAGCAUCUG
rfam:Bacillus sp. 1NLA3E, complete genome.